rnacentral:rRNA from 1 species
UACGUAGGGGGCAAGCGUUGUCCGGAUUUAUUGGGCGUAAAGAGCGUGUAGGCGGCUUGGUAGGUCCGCUGUGAAAACUCGAGGCUCAACCUCGAGAUGUCGGCGGAAACCACUUGGCUAGAGUCCGGAAGAGGAGAGUGGAAUUCAUGGUGUAGCGGUGAAAUGCGCAGAUAUCAGGAAGAACACCUAUGGCGAAGGCAGCUCUCUGGGACGGUACUGACGCUGAGACGCGAAAGCGUGGGGAGCGAACAGG